rnacentral:rRNA from 1 species
CCUACGGGAGGCUGCAGUGGGGAAUAUUGCACAAUGGGCGCAAGCCUGAUGCAGCCAUGCCGCGUGUGUGAAGAAGGCCUUCGGGUUGUAAAGCACUUUCAGCGGGGAGGAAGGCGUUAAGGUUAAUAACCUUGUCAAUUGACGUUACCCGCAGAAGAAGCACCGGCUAACUCCGUGCCAGCAGCCGCGGUAAUACGGAGGGUGCAAGCGUUAAUCGGAAUUACUGGGCGGAAAGCGCACGCAGGCGGUCUGUCAAGUCGGAUGUGAAAUCCCCGGGCUCAACCUGGGAACUGCAUUCGAAACUGGCAGGCUAGAGUCUUGUAGAGGGGGGUAGAAUUCCAGGUGUAGCGGUGAAAUGCGUAGAGAUCUGGAGGAAUACCGGUGGCGAAGGCGGCCCCCUGGACAAAGACUGACGCUCAGGUGCGAAAGCGUGGGGAGCAAACAGGAUUAGAUACCCGGGUAGUC